UAAAGCAGAAAAGAGCGCAGAGUGAAUGCCUUGGCAUUGGGAGCCGAUGAAGGACGUGGUUAACUGCGAUAAGCUGCGGGGAGUUGUAAGCAAGCAUUGAUCCGCAGAUUUCCGAAUGGAGCAAUCCGCAUGAAGUAGUUCAUGCAUCCAUACGUGAAUACAUAGCGUAUGGAGGGGAACCGCCUGAACUGAAACAUCUAAGUAGGGCGAGGAAAAGAAAUCAACCGAGAUUCCGUAAGUAGUGGCGAGCGAACGCGGAAGAGGCUAAACCAAGAGAAGAAAUUCUGUUGGGGUUUUGGACUGCAAACGGUAUUCUCAAUCUUUAGUCAAACAGUCUGGGAAGGCUGACCGGAGCGUGUGAUAGUCACGUAGACGAAAAGGAGCGAGAGCUAGCAGGAUCCAGAGUACCGCGGGGCACGUGAAAUCCCGUGGGAAGAUGGGGGGACCACCCUCCAAGCCUAAAUACUACCCAAUGACCGAUAGCGUAAAGUACUGUGAAGGAACGGUGAAAAGAACCCCGGGAGGGGAGUGAAAAGAACCUGAAACUCUGUGCUUACAAGCACAUAGAGCACGUCAAAGUGUGAUAUGGUACCUUUUGUAGAAUGGUCCGGCGAGUUAUGGUAUGCAGCGUGGUUAAGGACUUGAGGUCUGAAGCCGAAGCGAGAGCGAGUCUGACAAGGGCGAGAAGUUGUAUGCCAUAGACCCGAAACCGGGUGACCUAGCCAUGUCCAGGCUGAAGUGGAGGUAAAACUCCAUGGAGGGCCGAACCGACCUCCGUUGAAAAGGCGGCGGAUGAGAUGUGGCUAGCGGAGAAAUUCCAAUCGAACCCGGAUAUAGCUGGUUCUCCCCGAAAUAGCUUUAGGGCUAGCGUUGUAUUAGAUUGCCGGAGGUAAAGCACUGAAUGGGCUAGGGGCUGAGAAGUUACUGAACCCUAUCAAACUAAGAAUGCCGGACAAUUGAUGUACAGCAGUCAGACUAUGUGAGAUAAGUCUCAUAGUCAAAAGGGAAACAGCCCAGACCCACAGCUAAGGUCCCAAAAUGGAUUUAAGUGGAAAAGGAUGUGGAAUUGCACAGACAACCAGGAUGUUGGCUUAGAAGCAGCCACUCAUUAAAAGAGUGCGUAAUAGCUCACUGGUCGAGUGACUCUGCGCCGAAAAUUCAACGGGGCUAAAAUUCAUACCGAAGCUUGGGCUUGACAAGUAAUUGUCAGGGGUAGGGGAGCGUCGUAUGUGAGGUGAAGUCAUAGCGGAAGCGGUGGUGGAUUGCAUACGAGUGAGAAUGCCGGAAUGAGUAGCGAGAAUUAUGUGAGAAUCAUAAUGGCCGAAAAUCUAAGGUUUCCUGAGGAAGGUUCGUCCGCUCAGGGUUAGUCGGGAGCUAAGGUCAGGCGGAAACGCGUAGCCGAUGCACAUACGGUAGAAAUUCCGUAACCUCCGAAGAUUUAAACACAGGGACGCUUUUGAAGGGCUGAGCAGGGAGUUGGUUUCCUGUCGUAAGGGACGCGUAAGCGGAAGUCAGUUUGGAAAGAGACGAGAAAAGCUGUGUGUAUAUGGAAGGAGCCCGUACCGCAAACCGACACAGGUAGAUAGGAAGAAGAUUCUAAGGCCAGCGGGAGAAGGGUUGUUAAGGAACUCGGCAAGUUGACCCCGUAACUUCGGGAGAAGGGGUGCUUACGAAGGUAAGCCGCAGAGAAUAGGCCCAAGCGACUGUUUAGCAAAAACACAGCUCUAUGCUAAAUCGAAAGAUGACGUAUAUGGGGUGACACCUGCCCGGUGCUGGAAGGUUAAGAGGAGAUGUGAGAGCAUUGAAUUGAAGCCCCAGUAAACGGCGGCCGUAACUAUAACGGUCCUAAGGUAGCGAAAUUCCUUGUCAGGUAAGUUCUGACCCGCACGAAUGGUGUAACGAUUUGGGCACUGUCUCAACAACCUACCCGGCGAAAUUGUAGUACCGGUGAAGAUGCCGGUUACCCGCGACUAGACGGAAAGACCCCAUGGAGCUUCACUGCAGCUUAAUAUUGAAUUUUGGUAUUUCAUGUACAGGAUAGGUGGGAGACUGGGAAAUACAGGCGUCAGCUUGUAUGGAGUCGCUGUUGGGAUACCACUCUUGAAGUGCUGAAAUUCUAACCUGUGGCCUUGAAUCAGGUCAGGGGACAUUGUUAGGCGGGCAGUUUGACUGGGGCGGUCGCCUCCUAAAAGGUAACGGAGGCGCUCAAAGGUUCGCUCAGCAUGGACGGAAACCAUGCCAGA
rnacentral:rRNA from 1 species